rnacentral:rRNA from 1 species
ACGCUCGACACCUACGGGGGGCAGCAGUGGGGAAGUAUUGCACAAUGGGGGAAACCCGUGAUGCAGCGACGCCGCGUGAGUGAAGAAGUAUUUCGGUAUGUAAAGCUCUAUCAGCAGGGAAGAAGAUGACGGUACCUGAGUAAGAAGCCCCGGCUAACUACGUGCCAGCAGCCACGGUAAUCUGAGCGGGCUGGCAAGGC